GAUGAACGCUAGCGGCAGGCUUAACACAUGCAAGUCGAGGGGUAGGAGAAGCUUGCUUUUCUGAGACCGGCGCACGGGUGCGUAACGCGUAUGCAAUCUACCUUUCACAGAGGGAUAGCCCAGAGAAAUUUGGAUUAAUACCUCAUAGUAAUACGACUUGGCAUCAAGAUGUAUUUAAAGAUUUAUCGGUGAAAGAUGAGCAUGCGUCCCAUUAGCUAGUUGGUAUGGUAACGGCAUACCAAGGCAACGAUGGGUAGGGGUCCUGAGAGGGAGAUCCCCCACACUGGUACUGAGACACGGACCAGACUCCUACGGGAGGCAGCAGUGAGGAAUAUUGGACAAUGGGCGCAAGCCUGAUCCAGCCAUGCCGCGUGCAGGAUGACGGUCCUAUGGAUUGUAAACUGCUUUUAUACAGGAAGAAACACCUCUACGUGUAGAGACUUGACGGUACUGUAAGAAUAAGGAUCGGCUAACUCCGUGCCAGCAGCCGCGGUAAUACGGAGGAUCCAAGCGGUAUCCGGAAUCAUUGGGUUUAAAGGGUCCGUAGGCGGUCAGGUAAGUCAGUGGUGAAAGCCCAUCGCUCAACGGUGGAACGGCCAUUGAUACUGUCUGACUUGAAUUAUUAGGAAGUAACUAGAAUAUGUAGUGUAGCGGUGAAAUGCUUAGAGAUUACAUGGAAUACCAAUUGCGAAGGCAGGUUACUACUAAUUGAUUGACGCUGAUGGACGAAAGCGUGGGUAGCGAACAGGAUUAGAUACCCUGGUAGUCCACGCCGUAAACGAUGGAUACUAGCUGUUGGGAGCAAUCUCAGUGGCUAAGCGAAAGUGAUAAGUAUCCCACCUGGGGAGUACGAACGCAAGUUUGAAACUCAAAGGAAUUGACGGGGGCCCGCACAAGCGGUGGAGCAUGUGGUUUAAUUCGAUGAUACGCGAGGAACCUUACCAAGGCUUAAAUGUAGUUUGACCGGUUGGAAACAG
rnacentral:rRNA from 1 species